GGAUGUGCGGGUGGAAUUGGCUGCGACUCCCAUCACACCCCAUUGAUCGCUAGCGAUAGGAUCGGCUGAUCUGGUUGGUUAGAUGGGGCGUCCCCCGUUCCCCGCACGGAUCCGCGUCCGGUCUCGCCGAUGCCCCGCGCUCGGAUCGACGGCCGAGAGGCUCACCGCACGCACUACUGACACAGCGCACGGGUUUAACCACGGAGCUGCGAGUACCCACUUAGACCAAACACCGGAGACGGCGACGGCGAUAAGAGGGAAGCACGCUCUGCACCAUAUGUUGGUCAGAUGGUGGCCUUUCGAUUGCAGUCUCUGCAGAAGCUGCUGUUCACU
rnacentral:snRNA from 1 species